UGGGAGUUUUAAUCAUGUUCAAGGGAGGUUUAUAACCCCUUCAAAUAAUAAUAUAUUUUCUUCCUUUAUUUCCUAAUUUUUUUACUUUUCUUCUCUUUAAAAAUUUUAAACUAAUUUUUUUUCUAAAUUGUAAAAUUUCAUUGUNCUGAAUCCAAAAUCCCAUCUCCCUCUAAAAAUCANACUAAACCCUUUUUCCCUCUAACAAUCAAAACCCUUUUUCCCUCUAAAAAAUNCCUCUGAACCCUAAAAUCCCUUCCUUCAUUUCUUUGUUUUCAUUCCUUUCUCCCUUUCUUCCUCGCACGUUCGUUUUCUUCUUUCUUCCUCGCACUGAAAUGGGAAGGAGCGAGAGACGAAGGCAAGAUCAUGAUAAGUANUAGAUAAUAGUCGUUUUUAGAGAGGAUAGUGGUCGGUGAGUGGGGAGCAAGCGAAGGGAAUUUGUGCGUCAGACCUCCGAGAGAGGGUCAAAAGAGAGAACAAAACCAAUCUUGACAAGGGGAAUUGUACCAGUGGAUUCUCAGGCAACAGCAAGAAGGGUCU